CAAGAGUCAGUCAAUGUCAUUACCCGGUUUGACCGGAUAGGGGAAUACUGGCGUUAA
rfam:Lactobacillus shenzhenensis LY-73 genomic scaffold LY73.Scaffold57, whole genome shotgun sequence.